UAUAACAGUAGGUUCUGUCCUCAGUAUUAUAACAGUAGGAUCUGUCCUCUCAGUAUUAUAACAGUAGGAUCUGUCCUCAGUAUUAUAACAGUAGGAUCUGUCCUCUCAGUAUUAUAACAGUAGGAUCUGUCCUCUCAGUAUUAUAACAGUAGGUUCUGUCCUCAGUAUUAUAACAGUAGGAUCUGUCCUCUCAGUAUUAUAACAGUAGGAUCUGUCCUCUCAGUAUUAUAACAGUAGGUUCUGUCCUCUCAGUAUUAUAACAGUAGGAUCUGUCCUCUCAGUAUUAUAACAGUAGGUUCUGUCCUCUCAGUAUUAUAACAGUAGGAUCUGUCCUCUCAGUAUUAUAACAGUAGGUUCUGUCCUCUCAGUAUUAUAACAGUAGGUUCUGUCCUCUCAGUAUUAUAACAGUAGGAUCUGUCCUCUCAGUAUUAUAACAGUAGGAUCUGUCCUCUCAGUAUUAUAACAGUAGGAUCUGUCCUCUCAGUAUUAUAACAGUAGGAUCUGUCCUCUCAGUAUUAUAACAGUAGGAUCUGUCCUCUCAGUAUUAUAACAGUAGGUUCUGUCCUCUCAGUAUUAUAACAGUAGGUUCUGUCCUCUCAGUAUUAUAACAGUAGGUUCUGUCCUCUCAGUAUUAUAACAGUAGGAUCUGUCCUCAGUAUUAUAACAGUAGGAUCUGUCCUCAGUAUUAUAACAGUAGGUUCUGUCCUCUCAGUAUUAUAACAGUAGGAUCUGUCCUCUCAGUA